CAACGCGUUGGGAGCUCUCCCAUAUGGUCGACCUGCAGGCGGCCGCGAAUUCACUAGUGAUUAGAGUUUGAUCAUGGCUCAGAACGAACGCUUUCGGUAUGCUUAACACAUGCAAGUCGAACGGAUUUAUUUAGAGCUUGCUUUAAAUAAAUUAGUGGCAGACGGGUGAGUAACACGUGGGAAUCUGCCCAUCAGUACGGAAUAACAUUUAGAAAUAAUUGCUAAUACCGUAUAUUCUCUUUGGAGGAAAGAUUUAUCGCUGAUGGAUGAGCCCGCGCCAGAUUAGGUAGUUGGUAGGGUAAUGGCCUACCAAGCCAAUGAUCUGUAGCUGGUUUGAGAGAAUGAUCAGCCACACUGGGACUGAGACACGGCCCAGACUCCUACGGGAGGCAGCAGUGGGGAAUAUUGGACAAUGGGCGAAAGCCUGAUCCAGCAAUACCGAGUGGGUGAUGAAGGCCUUAGGGUUGUAAAGCCCUUUUCAGCAGGGAAGAUAAUGACGGUACCUGACCAAGAAAGCCCCGGCUAACUCCGUGCCAGCAGCCGCGGUAAUACGAAUCGAAUUCCCGCGGCCGCCAUGGCG
rnacentral:rRNA from 1 species